ensembl:lncRNA
AUGGCAGAAAACAAUGAGCCAGUGUCCUUCUUGGACUUGGCUAUUGUCAUGAAGUAUUUAGACCCAAACAUGAAAUUAUCAGAAGCUCAAAUUCGGGUUUCAGAGCUCAAAAAAUGCGUUUCUGACAUGCUGAAUCUAACACAUCUUCCAUCAUUAGCAUUCUCUGAUGAGAAUUCACUUGCUCAUGGUUUGAACUUACGUGGUACUGCAAAGGAACAAAUCCAGGCUGUUAUUGACUACAAUAAAUCUCAUCCCCCAUUGAAAAAUUUUAACUAUUAUGAGUCUGUUUAUACAUCUCCACAUCGAAUUGUAAAUGAAUUGCUCGAAGCUAAAAAAGGAAAUCUAGAUUAUCGGAAAGCUGCAGAAUCACGCGAUGAUUGUGACAUCUCAGCAUUAUCCCAAGAUGUGAUCCUACUUGCAGCUCAGACUUUCAUGUUUCGAAACAAACAUUACAAUGUUUCUGAUGAAGAGGCUCUUCAAGCUUUCCACAAUGCCAUUCAAUAUCUAAAAGGGGAGCAACGUACAUCAGCUCAGUUCAUAAAGUGUGACAGCCGAGAGCUCACAGAGAUCAUCCGAUGUGUAAACCGAUAUUUCAUAGAAGAAAGCAUAGAUAUAAUCGGCCUUGAAAUAGCUAAAAAAGUGAUGGAUAGUAUUAAUCAAGGCACAGAGCCUCCAAAACCAGACGGGUAUAUUUUUUCAUGGGAUGUACACUUGCUGUCUGAAGUUGAUUGCCUCAGGUUUAACUAUUCAGAGAGAAAUUUAAUAUUUAGAAAUGAGAGUGAUGAUUACAUAUUUCCAGAGUGGGAGAGAAUGGGGCAAAACUGUUAUCGCUGGUACAUUUUUCGUGCACAGGGUAAAUACAGCGGGAAGGACUAUUACGCCGUACAAUUAAAAAAGACUACUACAAUCGGGGGUAGUGUUCGUGAAUUUAAAGGUGAUUUCAGAGCCAGCGAAGAUCCUGCCCUUCUGAAACGAUUUCAAGAUGCCAAAAUAAACGGGAACUGUACUAGUGAAUUCCAGAGGACAGCUGCAUAUAGCUGGAGCAGAGAUGGCACACCUCCUGCGCACCCAUACUUCAUUGUGGCUCAACUCUACUGGCCUCGUAUUCCACUCAAUUCAAACUACCAGCUGGAACAAAUCACAGAUAAAGUAGCCCUAAGGGUACUUUACGAUGAGAUACCUGCUCUAGAGGAAAAAAGAACAACUGAUCUUAAAACAUACACUUGGUUUUUAAACAAACCUGAGAACGCGGUUAAUGACUUCCCAGAACUGAAAGAUUAUUCUGAGGGUCAGACUUUCUCUGAUGAUUACUUGCGUCCUUCAACAGAACCCCUUCAAACUGAUGGUUUUACUUAUGAGUGGUCAAGAGAAGAACAUGAAAGCACACACCAAGACUUCACCUUAAUAUUCAGAGCGAGGCCAACCUGUGAAAGGGUUCCUCAGGUCAUUACAGAGGAAACGAGAAUAAGAUUGGAUUACUGGCAGUAUAUCAAAGAGUUUGUGUUCUUUGGUGGGUCACGACGUGAAGGAGCAGUGCUUGCCCCGGAUCCGGCUUGGAUUGAUCAGGCACACAGGAAUGGGGUCGCCAUAUUUGGCACAGUUUUUUUGCCACCUUUGACCCUUGGGGGAGACAAGAAAGAUAUGGAAGAACUGGCAAAACUGGAGAACCUACAGAAACUAGUGGACAUUGCCCACCGAUUAAACUUUGAAGGGUGGUUUCUGAAUACCGAAAGCUACGAUGACUAUAAGGAUCCUCUCUUAAAUACGCUGAAACUCACAAUUCAGAAAAUGGAUCUCAGGGGUAAAGAAAUUAUCUGGUAUUUACCCAUGUGUAAUCAAAGCACAAAUUUUGACCCAGAAUUAAAAGGAGUAAGGAUGACAUGUGAUAACAAAAUCAAUAAUAUAGCAGCUGCGUUUCAGGAAAAUAUGGGAAAAACUAAUUUUUUUUAUUUGGUUGAGAAUGUGUUUAAUGAUCAUGCUCCUCUGAAUUACCAAAUGUUUGUUGAUGAACCCUACUGGAAAAACACAUUAAAACACAGAGGAUAUUUAGUAGACCCUAUCAGAUUUCCAUAUGCGCAGAACUGUCUUUGGCAGUUUUUUCUAGGUGAAAAUGGACUGGAAAGAAAACCAACAAAUAUCUGGUGUGGAAUUGCUAAAUAUGCAAAGGAAAGAAAACAAUUAAGCAAAGAUUAA